rnacentral:rRNA from 1 species
UGAACGCUGGCGGCAUGCCUUACACAUGCAAGUCGAACGGCAGCGCGGGCUUCGGCCUGGCGGCGAGUGGCGGACGGAUGAGUAAUGAAUCGGAACGUGCCCAGGAGUGGGGGAUAACGUAGCGAAAGUUACGCUAAUACCGCAUACGUACUGAGGUAGAAAGCGGGGGAUCGAAAGACCUCGCGCUCAUGGAGCGGCCGAUGUCGGAUUAGCUAGUUGGUGGGGUAAAAGCUCACCAAGGCGACGAUCCGUAGCUGGUCUGAGAGGACGACCAGCCACACUGGGACUGAGACACGGCCCAGACUCCUACGGGAGGCAGCAGUGGGGAAUCUUGGACAAUGGGGGAAACCCUGAUCCAGCAAUGCCGCGUGUGGGAUGAAGGCCCUCGGGUUGUAAACCACUUUUGGCAGGAAAGAAAUCGCCUGUGCUAAUACCAUGGGCGGAUGACGGUACCUGCAGAAUAAGCACCGGCUAACUACGUGCCAGCA